rnacentral:piRNA from 1 species
UUGUUGCGCCGUGCACUGGGACCUGCCAU